UACGUAGGGGGCAAGCGUUGUCCGGAUUUAUUGGGCGUAAAGAGCGUGUAGGCGGCCAGACAGGUCCGUUGUGAAAACUCGAGGCUCAACCUCGAGACGCCGAUGGAAACCGUAUGGCUAGAGUCCGGAAGAGGAGAGUGGAAUUCCUGGUGUAGCGGUGAAAUGCGCAGAUAUCAGGAAGACACCCUGGCGAAGGCGGCUCUCUGGGACGGUACUGACGAGACGCGAAAGCGUGGGGAGCGAAACAGG
rnacentral:rRNA from 1 species